rnacentral:rRNA from 1 species
GACGAACGUUGGCGGCGUGCUUAAUACAUGCAAGUCAACUGAAGCAGAGGUAGUAAUAUCUCUGUGGAGGUGGCGCACGGGUGAGUAACACGUAGGUAAUCUGCCUUCAGGUCUGACAUAACCCCGAGAAAUCGGGGCUAAUAGCAGAUGAUGCAGCGGCUUGACAUCAAGACAGUUGUUAAAGCUUCGGCGCCUGAAGAUGAGCCUGCGUCUGAUUAGCUAGUUGGCGGAGUAACAGCCCACCAAGGCUACGAUCAGUAGCUGGUCUGAGAGGAUGAUCAGCCACACUGGAACUGA